GAGAAUUAUUAACAUAGGGCAACGUCCGAGAACCUAACAUUUUUGGGUUCCGAUGGGAGUGUAUGGAUGAAGAGUCGUUGGAAACGGAGCGAUUAAUUCAUUGUGGUUUGAUCGCCCUCACUGGAAUGCCGAGAGACACUGGAUGAUGAUUUUAAUAUUGAUUUAAAGAUUGGGUCUGCUGGAUGAUCAGGAUAACUUCCUGACUCUGUGACUGAUCCUAUGAGUCUGCAAUGAGGUUGACGGUGUGAUAAGGGAGUAUAAGCUAAUUUGAAAAAUUGUUUAAACAGAAUAUGUUUUUUGUUUUUUUACAUGUGUUUUAGAGAUUUGCAUUAAGAAUAUUGGUAGUAGUAAUAAUUUGUCAUACAGAAGAUCAUUUGUUUGGAUUUCUUGAAUCAGAAAUUAACCGAACUGAAUUGUUGUUUUGAUCUGUCAUUUCUUGAGGUUAUGGUGGAGAUGGUAUCUAAAUGCAUGGGAAGAAUAAUUUUACCAAACGGUGUGGACCUCAAAACCCCCUCUAACCUGCUGAAGAAAUGGCAUUCACUACGGCCCUGUCUUGCACCACUUCUAUCGAGAGACCUGAGUCCAAGCCAGCAACUGGUGAACAGCAUCCAGUUGAAGUUAUCAACUGCCUUUUCUCUCUGGAGUGCAACAGAAGUCCACGUGGAGUGAGCAUGGAGAGAGAGAUCCGUCCCAAAACUUCUCUCAUAUUGCUGGUAUACUGGUUGGCGAAUGGACAAGACAUAAUGAGUUGUGGUGGGGUUCAGGUGAGACGUUGAAAUUGUGACAUUAUCAUGGGCCAUCCACUUUGAAGCUAUCUGAAGAAGAAGAAGAAAAAUGAAGAAAUGCCAGAAGAUUGAGUGCCGGAGAAGGGAGGGGUUUGGCCAACUGUGCCUGUAAUUGAUUUAGACUUGGAGGUUCACACUGCUAAAAGUAUAAUGAUUUAGGCAAAUAAUGCAUUGAGAUACUGAUAUGUAAUUAUAACCCUGAUGAGGAACUUAAUACUAGAAUUAUGAGAUUAAUAUAUUGUAUGGUUAAUAUAAAUGUACAUUCUGUCAGUAUUGAUGUAUGUUAAGUUGAGGGUUUUCAUUUUGAGUGAUAGAACCAAUGUGAAUCACUGAGCAAUGUCAUUCUGGAUUUUGGUUGGAUAGUUAAUUGGGUUUUGAUUAUGAUUUGGGAACUGAAUGAUUUCCCGUACCUAUUCCCUAUUCAUGACUACAUCGCUGAUGAGGACCCCAAUUCUGAGCAUAAGGACCCAGAUGUAUAGCUCAUGUUCCUGCUGAGUGUUCAAAGUGAUUACAUUUUUUUGGUUUCAUUUUCUGUUCCAGAUUGACUGUGUUUAGAUAGGAAAGGUCUAAAACUCAGCAACCCAAAGAAAGGUUGCUUACCAUGGAUGAAAUGUCAGGCACCAGAAAUAGGUACUUUGUUUGUUAAAAUGUAUGUUUACAAAUAAUCAUGUAAUGCUUAUACCCUUAAAUAUUUCCAGAAGAAGCUUAGCUUCUUGAGAGGGGAAUGUGAUAGAAAGAUGACAUAUUUACCUGAUUUGUUGGAUAUUUAACAAUUAUUUACUUAACAAACAGUAAGAUAUUUCUGUCCUGCUAAUGCUGUGUUUUAUGGUCUCCAGUCUAGCACCCUGCAGCUAAUCUGGGCGUAUGGUUUACUAGAGAUAGCUUGAGCUGAAAAUUGAUUGACUUGGUGAUACACUUUACAGCUGGAAUUCCAGUGACAGGAUGUGGGGUGGUUGUAACUGGGAUAGAGAGGAGUAGAACAAAGGCUUCAAUGGUUCUUAGACAUUCUGGCAUCUGGGAAAUUUGGCCAGGGUUGGGGGUUAAGAUAACACCAGGUGCCAAUAAAGACAGGAUGAGCCCAAGGUGGCCCUAAAGUAGUUAGUUCAGAUUGUUUUAAUAUUAUUCAUCUUUGUGUAAUUUAAAAUCGAUUAAUCAAUCAAUGUUCAUGCAGAAACAUGAAUGUUAAAACAAACUAUUCUAAAAAGCUACCUGCAACAAAGCAUGCUCGGAAAUAUGAUAAUGAGGCCACUCCCAUGUGUUUUUUUUCAAUCUGAGAGAGUUAAAUAUGCAGUGUGCUGUGUGUAGGGCCAUGGAUUUGUACUGUUAUGGCAAUUACACUGGCUCUGUUACAACAGGAAAACUCAAUCAAGUGCAGCUGAAGUAUUUGAAAGAAUGCAAAUACUAUUUGAACCCAAGUCUGGUUGUGUGUAUGUGUGAAGGAGGGUGGUAUGUGGGCUUUAGCCUUUCUAGUGUGCUGCAGAAUUAGGAUGCUGAAAAUAAAUAAUGAAGCACACCACCCACCGGGGUCCAGUUUUACUCUCUUGCCAAUCAUUGGAGUAAAGCAGAAUUAAUCACUCUCAGAGCUGUCAGUUCCCAUCAGCCAGAAGCCAUCCAUCUCUGAACUUGAGUCUGUAAUUUGGCAAUAACUGUUAUUUUGAUUAAUUCACUGCCGGAAACAGUUUUAGGACUUCCAGGAGAUCAGAGACAAUGACAGAUUGAUGAUGCUUUUAUCCUUUAAUACAAUACCCCCAAACUUCACAAUGAUUGGGCUAUAUGAAAGAUAUUACAGAUAUAUGUUGCAUCCCCCUAGAUGCGAUGACGUAUGGAUCAUUGUGUAGGAUCCUCUGUACACUUUGUCAGCUGAAGGAAGCUUCAAGCCUUCUACUUCAACAGACUUUAUCAUUAGUCCUGUAGCUUCAGCUGAGGGGCUGAGGUGAGUGUAAUUGAAGUAUAGGCCCCCACACUACAGAGGAUCUUACACAAUGAUCCAUACAUCAUCGCAGGUGUCGCAAAUCGCACCCUAAUGCCUAAAUAGUGCACUAAUUUUGAAUAGAGCCCUAUGAGCCCUAGUCAAAAGUAGUGCCCUGUAUAGGGAAUAUGAUACCAUUUUAGGAUGCACCCUUAGUGUUACUAGGGAUGCUUUGCUGCGUUACGUUUUUGUGUUGUGUUUUCAGAUGCACUUUUGUUGUUGUUGUUGUUGCUGUUGCUAUAGAAGCACAAUUGUGUUGCUUUUCGAUUAUAACACCAGUGUAACACUAGUGUAUACACCCUCAUGUUAUACUAGGGGAAUUGUUUCCUUAGGUAGGGCUGACAGUGAGGACUUGUAAAGAGCAGAAUCCACAACUUCUACAUAAUCAAAACAGUUGCUUUGUGAGAAGGUGUUAAAGUUCACAGUUAGCCAGUGUUAUGUAACUGCACACUGAAAAGUAUCAGUGGUCUGGCUUAGGCCCCAAGUGAGAGCAGGUCUGCCGGUGUCAUGGCCCAGUGUGACAUGGCCUGCAUAGAUGGAAACUGAAAAGUCUGAGCCUUCUGUGUGAAACACUGAGGUAAAUCCUGUAUGGAAAUGUGCCAUUGAUGACAUUCCUCAAGCUUUCCACAUCACACCAUAGUCUCUCCUGUCUUCCCAAAAGUAUGGAGAGGGAUUUAGGUAUCAAAAUAUUUGAACUAGCCGACAGUAUUUAUCAAAAGAAAAAGCCAAUUCAGCAGGUUACUCUACAAUAUUUUCUCCUCACUUUGAUUAUUAUUUAUUUUUAUUGAUGUUCACUUCAAGCCACGUCUCCUGUCAGAUUGGAGGAUUGGACAACAUUGUUGUCGGUUGAUGUAUUUUGUAAUAUUUUAUUUGACAACUGUAAUAGCACUGGACAGACAGAAAGACAGACACCCCAACCUUGGGGAUGUUUAGAUUUAAACCAACGCUAUAAACAAACUCCUCUGAUUGAUGAGAUUCUAUAACAAAUUGAAAUUAAUGAAUUCUGUUUUCCACAUAAUUAGAUAUAAUAAGCAAAACAAAUGUAGGAAUCUUAAUAGGUAUAGUGUUGUUGCUUUGUUACCAUCCGGCGUGUCAAGAUGAACAAUGAACAUCAUUUGUAUUUCUUAUAAUACUGUCCAUGGAAUUUCAAUUCAAUUAUGACCAUGAGACUACAAAAUGGUCUACAUGACACAUCCCUAAGAUGUGAACAUAGUAGUAGCUCAGGUUUCAAUUGGUCUUGAAGAAGAAGAACAUUGCUGUUAAACUGGUAUUGCUAUGACCUAAACACAUUUCCUGAAUGAAAAGACUCGGGGCAUCAAUGGAGAAGAGCAUGGUUCACAAGUGUCUUGGUAGUUAUGCCUGAAUUGCGUGUGCGUGUGUGCGUGUGUGUGUGUGUGUGUGUGUGUGUGUGUGUGUGUGUGUGUGUGUGUGUGUGUGUGUGUGUGUGUGUGAAAUUACUGUUUCAUCCUAUGUGGAAUCUUAUCGGUGUUAGCAGCAUCUUGAAAGUGAGGGUCAUAUGGGAGAUAUAAUUUCUCUCAGCAGAUGGUCUCAUCUGGUCUCAUCUGGCUUACCUUGGCUGGAUGGUUGCUUUUCUCCCCCCACAGGACCCUUUAUGAGAGCCAGGAACAUUUCAAUCUUAUGCAUUGAUUUACUACAUCAGUCAUUUAUCUUCCUACUAUAUGACAGGUUUUGUAUGUAGCCACUUUGAAAGAAGCCACUAAGCAUUGUACAUGUUGUACAGGCAAUUACAGUCCACUUAACAAUUGCUUAUUGUCUACCAUUCUACCAUACCAUGCUUGCUAUCUUAUCUGGAUGGGGAAAUAGGUGGACGGGGUACCACGAUGGGGUAUGUAUGGUAUAAUAUUUCCAUCAGUAUUGCAAGUCAGCUCUCUCUCCAGUCCAGCCGUAGCUAUGGCAACCAGUCGAACUUUGAUCUCAGCUGUCAUGCUUUAUUAAAGUGUUAAUGGAAUUCA